CAAAGGUGUGCGUUGGCUUGAUGCCCGCAUUGGUGUUGUGGGGCAGGGGAAUGUAGGUCGAUGUGUGGCAUCACGUUUCGUUGC
rnacentral:tRNA from 1 species